CUGGGAAAGUAGUGGAUGCCGCUUUCUCAUCCCUCCGAAGAAAGCUUUAUGUCAGUCAACAGUACUAACUGAUGUGCACAUCACCAUGGCUAUCCAUGUCUUUGUCUCAUCCAGGCUGGAUUUCGGCAAUAUGCUCAACUAUACUUGCAGCUCCCCUUGAAGAGCAGCUGAAAUCUUUAAAUUGGUCAUGAAUGCUGAGAUUGUAAGAAAGUCUGCUGAAACAUCCUCCCAGGAGUCAAAUGAAGGGGUGAAGAAAUAAACAGCAACUAACAGCUUUGAUCAUUCACAGCCAGAGAUCCAUUCAGUCCAGAAUGUAUCCUCUCAUGAGAUCCUGAAAAGGAAUUCCAUACGCUGAGGGGCUAACAGCCCUGCAUGUAAUGAUGUCCAAAAAUCUGAGCCCUUGCAAUGCAUACAGCCUAGGACUGUGGAGUCUCUUGAGUUUUGGGAGGAGCACUGACUGAUUUAAGACUGUGGAGGAGCUGCUUGGGCUUCUACUGACAGUCCUAAGCUGUCACCAGUCCCCACCUUACCCACCUGCAGCUGAGCCAGCUCCUCCUCUGCGCUGCCAAUGGGACGUCUGACCACAAAAGAGACAGCUCAUUGAAGAUGAGAGCACAUUGCUGCGAUUCUUUUGCAUGGCCUGUACUUUGUGGUUCACCACCCAGCCGCACUGUGACGGGCUGUACGCCUGCAUUCAUCCCGUGCGCACCGUUAUAAUAAUCUUUGUACAAAGUAUGGCUUGUAAGGUAUCAUUUGAAAACACAUAAUUCACAGGUCCAUAUUGUCCUGAUAAUAUAUGUGUGGCAACAUUGUAUGUAAAGUUAUCAGAGUCCAUUGUGUGGUGUUUCUAAGACAUAUUUCAAGCCUGGGGAGCAGCCAAACCAGUUCCUCAGUGAGGAAGGGCAAGCUGACACAAAGGUCAAGGUGAAAUGGGCCAUCACCUGCUAAGUGGCUAUUCAUUAGCAGCAAAAGGAACGUGGGUGAAAAAUCUACAUCUUAGAAAAGAAAUAGCAUCCACACAUUCUGAUUGUCACCAUGUUCCCAGUGGGAGAUGCCUCUCAAAGGAGGGAGAAGACUAUAAAAUGGAAGGCCAGACACCCCAAAAGGAUUUCUCCCUUUCUCUCUGGCCACGGCAUUCACAAUAGCUGAAGAAUAAAGGAAGCAGCAUUGGACUGGGGGAGGGAUCCCGACUGAAAGAAAUUCAGCCAGUAAAACUACUGAAACAUAUGGUGAGAGAGACUUUGCUUUGAAUUUGCCCUAAUUUGUUAAGUUAGACAUUACUUGUGUUUUACCUUUAUUUUUCUGGUAACCAAUUCUGACUUUUAU